rnacentral:rRNA from 1 species
GAGGAAUAUUGGUCAAUGGGCGAGAGCCUGAACCAGCCAUCCCGCGUGAAGGAUGAAUGUCCUAUGGAUUGUAAACUUCUUUUCUGCACCAAGAAAAUGUCGUACGUGUACGAUUUUGACGGUAGUGCAGGAAUAAGCAUCGGCUAACUCCGUGCCAGCAGCCGCGGUAAUACGGAGGAUGCGAGCGUUAUCCGGAUUCAUUGGGUUUAAAGGGUGCGUAGGCGGCUUUUUAAGUCAGUGGUGAAAUCCUGCAGCUUAACUGUAGAAUUGCCAUUGAUACUGAAGAGCUUGAAUAUAGUUGAGGUAGGCGGAAUGUGCAGUGUAGCGGUGAAAUGCUUAGAUAUUGCACAGAACACCGAUUGCGAAGGCAGCUUACUAAAUUAUUAUUGACGCUGAGGCACGAAAGCGUGGGGAUCGAAC